CUGCUGCCUUCCGUAGGAGUCUGGGCCGUAUCUCAGUCCCAAUGUGGCCGGCCAACCUCUCAGUCCGGCUACUGAUCGUCGCCUUGGUAGGCCGUUACCCUACCAAUUAGCUAAUCAGACGCGAGGCCAUCUCUCAGCGAUAAAUCUUUGAUAUAUCUGCCAUGCGACAAACAUAUAUUAUGCGGUAUUAGCAGUCGUUUCCAACUGUUGUCCCCCUCUGAAAGGCAGGUUCCUCACGCGUUA
rnacentral:rRNA from 1 species